rnacentral:rRNA from 1 species
GAUGAACGCUGGCGGCGUGCCUAAUACAUGCAAGUCGAGCGAACAGAUGAGGAGCUUGCUCCUCUGACGUUAGCGGCGGACGGGUGAGUAACACGUGGAUAACCUACCUAUAAGACUGGGAUAACUUCGGGAAACCGGAGCUAAUACCGGAUAAUAUAUUGAACCGCAUGGUUCAAUAGUGAAAGACGGUUUUGCUGUCACUUAUAGAUGGAUCCGCGCCGCAUUAGCUAGUGGUAAGGUAACGGCUUACCAAGGCAACGAUGCGUAGCCGACCUGAGAGGGUGAUCGGCCACACUGGAACUGAGACACGGUCCAGACUCCUACGGGAGGCAGCAGUAGGGAAUCUUCCGCAAUGGGCGAAAGCCUGACGGAGCAACGCCGCGUGAGUGAUGAAGGUCUUCGGAUCGUAAAACUCUGUUAUUAGGGAAGAACAAAUGUGUAAGUAACUAUGCACGUCUUGACGGUACCUAAUCAGAAAGCCACGGCUAACUACGUG